GACGUAGGGCGCGAGCGUUGUCCGGAUUUAUUGGGCGUAAAGAGCUCGUAGGCGGCUUGUCGCGUCGACUGUGAAAUCCCGCGGCUCAACUGCGGGUCUGCAGUCGAUACGGGCAGGCGUAGAGUUCGGUAGGGGAGACUGGAAUUCCUGGUGUAGCGGUGAAAUGCGUAGAUAUCAGGAGGAACACCGGUGGUGUAGACGGCUCACUGGACCGUAACUGAACGCUGG
rnacentral:rRNA from 1 species